GACAGAGGGUGCAAACGUUGUUCGGAAUUACUGGGCGUAAAGCGCGUGUAGGCGGCCACUGCAAGUCGGGUGUGAAAGCCCUGGGCUCAACCUAGGAAGUGCACUCGAAACUGCGGGGCUUGAAGUCUGGAGAGGAAGGCGGAAUUCUCGGUGUAGAGGUGAAAUUCGUAGAUAUCGGGAGGAACACCGGUGGCGAAGGCGGCGACCUGGGUCGACACUGACGCUGAGGCGCGAAAGCGUGGGGAGCAAACAGG
rnacentral:rRNA from 1 species